UUUGCCAAUGUUAAUUGACAUAUGGGAAAUGGGUUCACAACAAAUCGACGGCUUUCGGAACUUGAGAUGGCUAGAAGUACAUGGUUGUGAGCAAAUGAAAUAUUUGUUUUCACCUUCCAUAGUUAAACUUCUUAUCAGCCUAGAGCAGAUAAAAGUUAUAGAUUGUUGGAUGAUGGAAGAAAUUGUUGCAGAGACAGAAGCAGAACAUGCAGAGGAAAUGGAACUUCCUCUAGUGAAUUCCAUAAUGCUUCGUAAGCUACCAAACUUCAAGCGUGUGUGCACUGAAGGUUAUACUUUAAAGUGCCCAUCCCUGGCAGUGGCGGAAUUCGUUUACAUUGAAUGCAAUCCAAAACUGAAAAUAAAAAUUGAUCAAGGGGUUCUAAGCACAAUUCCUGCAGAGACUGCAUCUGUUUUGAAGCAAAGGUAUUAACUAGAGAGGAGAUUAAGAUACCAGUAAGAGAGAAUGAGAGUGGUGGUUACCAACAAAGAGAACAGUUAGGAAGGUGGAUGGUGGUUUUCUCACACACAUUGUCAAGGUGGCAUGAGAGUUCGAACUUAAGACCACUAGUUUGCAAUCAAUGCCCUUUUCCACUAGACGUGACCCCCGUUGGAUAAUGACAAUUAAUGUUUAUGUUGUUGCUAUCUCUACCCCACAUUCAUUCUAGGUUGCUGAUUUAGUUAACACCCCAGUCCUUCAACAAGAUG